UAGAACGCUGAAGAGAGGAGCUUGCUCUUCUUGGAUGAGUUGCGAACGGGUGAGUAACGCGUAGGUAACCUGCCUUGUAGCGGGGGAUAACUAUUGGAAACGAUAGCUAAUACCGCAUAACAAUGGAUGACACAUGUCAUUUAUUUGAAAGGGGCAAUUGCUCCACUACAAGAUGGACCUGCGUUGUAUUAGCUAGUAGGUGAGGUAACGGCUCACCUAGGCGACGAUACAUAGCCGACCUGAGAGGGUGAUCGGCCACACUGGGACUGAGACACGGCCCAGACUCCUACGGGAGGCAGCAGUAGGGAAUCUUCGGCAAUGGGGGCAACCCUGACCGAGCAACGCCGCGUGAGUGAAGAAGGUUUUCGGAUCGUAAAGCUCUGUUGUAAGUCAAGAACGAGUGUGAGAGUGGAAAGUUCACACUGUGACGGUAGCUUACCAGAAAGGGACGGCUAACUACGUGCCAGCAGCCGCGGUAAUACGUAGGUCCCGAGCGUUGUCCGGAUUUAUUGGGCGUAAAGCGAGCGCAGGCGGUUUGAUAAGUCUGAAGUUAAAGGCUGUGGCUCAACCAUAGUUCGCUUUGGAAACUGUCAAACUUGAGUGCAGAAGGGGAGAGUGGAAUUCCAUGUGUAGCGGUGAAAUGCGUAGAUAUAUGGAGGAACACCGGUGGCGAAAGCGGCUCUCUGGUCUGUAACUGACGCUGAGGCUCGAAAGCGUGGGGAGCGAACAGG
rnacentral:rRNA from 1 species